rnacentral:rRNA from 1 species
AAAGGUGUGCUAAUACCGCAUAAUCUCUCAGGAGAAAAGCAGGGGAUCGUAAGACCUUGCGCUUUAGGAGCGGCCGAUGCCUGAUUAGCUUGUUGGUAAGGUAAAAGCUUACCAAGGCUUCGAUCAGUAGCUGGUCUGAGAGGACGACCAGCCACACUGGGACUGAGACACGGCCCAGACUCCUACGGGAGGCAGCAGUGGGGAAUUUUGGACAAUGGGGGAAACCCUGAUCCAGCCAUGCCGCGUGAGUGAAGAAGGCCUUCGGGUUGUAAAGCUCUUUCAGCCGGAACGAAACGGUUACGAUUAAUACUCGUAAUUAAUGACGGUACCGGCAGAAGAAGCACCGGCUAACUACGUGCCAGCAGCCGCGGUAAUACGUAGGGUGCGAGCGUUAAUCGGAAUUACUGGGCGUAAAGGGUCCGCAGGUUGUUUUGUAAGUCAGAUGUGAAAGCCCCGGGCUUAACCUGGGAACUGCGUCUGAAACUACAAGGCUAGAGUAUGGCAGAGGGGGGUGGAAUUCCGCGUGUAGCAGUGAAAUGCGUAGAUAUGUGGAGGAACACCGAUGGCGAAGGCAGCCCCCUGGGUCAAUACUGACGCUGAGGGACGAAAGCAUGGGGAGCAAACAGGAUUAGAUACCCUGGUAGUCCAUGCCCUAAACGAUGUCAACUAGUUGUCGGGCCUUUACGGGCUUGGUAACGUAGCUAACGCGUGAAGUUGACCGCCUGGGGAGUACGAUCGCAAGAUUAAAACUCAAAUGAAUUGACGGGGACCCGCACAAGCGGUGGAUUAUGUGGAUUAAUUCGAUGCAACGCGAAAAACCUUACCUACCCUUGACAUGUAUCGAAGCCCGCAGAAAAGCGGAGGUGCCCGAAAGGGAACGAUAACACAGGUGCUGCAUGGCUGUCGUCAGCUCGUGUCGUGAGAUGUUGGGUUAAGUCCCGCAACGAGCGCAACCCUUGUCAUUAAUUGCCAUCAUUUAGUUGGGCACUUUAAUGAGACUGCCGGUGACAAACCGGAGGAAGGUGGGGAUGACGUCAAGUCCUCAUGGCCCUUA